UCUGUAUUAGUUUAGUGUCCAGUAACUUGUGUUGUCUGUUACCACCCAGUAAUCUGCCUGCCUGCCAGCUCUCUAUUUUCCCCUGCUGUCUCUCUGCCUGCCUGUCUCAUUAGUCCUGAUCCCUGUCACCUGUGUUGCUCCCACUCUGCUCGUUAGUCCCUGUGUAUAAAUGUUUGGUGUUUCUGUUUAUUCACUGUCUGGUCAUUUUAACGUGUAUACACUCUGUUAUGUGUUGUAGGAAGAGUGUGCUGCUGUCGUUUUUUGAUGUUGCCAGUCCCUGCACUUUGUGAGCCUUGUUUUGCCUUUUCCAUGUUAUGGAUUAAAGUCCCUAAACUGUAUCUCCGCUCCUUGCAUUUGGGCUCUCACCUGUUUUGCGCUCACCCGAAACCCUGACAUAGCAGCAUUUUCUUCUAAGUGGAUGGGGACCACUCAGAGCUAAACAACUACCUUCUGAUCUCCAAACUCUCAAUCCUGGCUAAGGUCCUUGAAUCCCAGAAAAUGAAGUUCAUGGUCUUCUCAAAAGCUCGCCUACACUUGCUUGAUGAUCUUAGCUGUUGUGGUGGCAGCCCGGCUGACGGUGAGUGUCCUGGUUUUUCCUCCUUUUUAUCAGUUUUCUGCUUUUUCCCUUGGUUUCCUGUUCUCUGCCCGCCUCUCUGUGUUUUCU